rnacentral:rRNA from 1 species
CCUACGGGAGGCAGCAGUGGGGAAUAUUGGGCAAUGGGCGCAAGCCUGACCCAGCAACGCCGCGUGAAGGAAGAAGGCUUUCGGGUUGUAAACUUCUUUUCUGAGGGACGAAGAAAGUGACGGUACCUCCGGAAUAAGCCACGGCUAACUACGUGCCCGCCGCCGCGGUAAUACGUAGGUGGCAAGCGUUAUCCGGCUUUAUUGGGUGUAAAGGGCGUGUAGGCGGGAAAGCAAGUCAGAUGUGAAAACUCAGGGCUUAACCCUGAGCCUGCAUUUGAAACUGUUUUUCUUGAGUGCUGGAGAGGCAAACGGAAUUCCAUGUGGAGCGGUGAAAGGCGUAGAUAUACGGAGGAACACCAGUGGCGAAGGCGGAUUGCUGGACAGUAACUGACGCUGAGGCGCGAAAGCGUGGGGAGCAAACAGGAUUAGAUACCCGUGUAGUC